rnacentral:lncRNA from 1 species
UAAUAAAUGGUAUUAGAACUAGACACUAAACUAAUUUGGUGAAGAUCUUACUAUUGAAUUGUUGAGACAUGAAAGGAAGCUUGAUUUUUAGAUCCCUAUCCUCGAUUGCUCCAACUACGCAUUUUAAAAAACACACAUGAUUACAUUUAUUAGUUUCCUCGAUAAGAAGACAUGGAGGACAGUGCUUACUAGUUGAGAUCCACCGGCAAUUGAAGUUGACGGUGUAAGGACAUCCAAGCCAUAGACUACCUAUAUUAUUAAGAUAAGGUAGGCAACUUCAACUCCAAGACGUUAAAUGUCGUCUUUAAUGGAGUAGAGCUCCAGGAAUUAAAGAGACUAUUGUUGUAGGCCAAUUUUGGCCCAAAUACAACCAAAUACUCACCCCAAUUUCAUCAGCCCAACAUCAUCAAACCCAAUCUAAACCAACAGCCCACCUAAACUAACCUACUAAACAUUUUCCAGCAAAGAAAAAACACUAGCCACCUCCCCACUUUCCUCUGACACCAGCCACCAUCACCUGCUCCACCAGUCACCCCCAUACCCUGCAAAAACAGAGCAAACAAGCAAGACGGGAAAAUAUGGCAAAAGUAAUAAAAAAAUUUGUAAAAGAUUACUAUAAAAAGCCAUUCAAAAAUGCUGUAAAAAGGGGGGUUUAUUUUUUUUUAAAAGAAAGAUUGUAACACAGAUAUUGGAAAUAAAAACGGAUACAAAAACAAAAAAAGAGAAGGAAGGUUCAAGAGGUUUAGUUUUGUUCUUCUUUUUUUUUUCCCUUUUUUCUUCUUUUUGUUCUCUGCUUACCUUGUUUUUUUCAUAUUUAUUCAUUGUUUUUUUUUCCUUUUCUUUUUUCAAGAAAACCUUUUUUUAACAAAGAAACAUAAAAAAUUUUAAAGUAGGCGUACCUAGGUUGCGCUCCUUCGCUGUACACGGCGGUCACCGCCGUCGUCGUUGGCGAUAGGGCGGGUCUCUAAGGAACCCAAUCGACAGAAAGAAAAAGGGGGAGGGGAAGAGAGCAUGGAAGUUUUUUUGUUUUUUUAAGAUUGGGGGUUGAAAAUGAAACACAAAAAAAAAUCUUUGUUUUUAAAUAAUGGUGUUGAAACGGCAUUAUUUUGUUUGGUGGGUGGGGUCUGUACACUUUCUCUAAAAGGGAAAUUUAUGCGUUUAGUCCUACUCUCUCGCAACCUCAUUCAAUUAACCCACAUUUUCUAUAUUCUUUUGUUUUUUAAAUUUGGCCCUCAGAUCUUGUUUGGUUUUCGUUUUGAUCCCUAAUUAAUUAUCCAAUAUUUAUACUUUUAUAUCCCGAAUUUUAAUUUGUUUUUAGCCAUGUCCUAAAUCUAUUUAAUUUAUUUAUUAACCUUUUUUUUAAAAUGUUUCAUUUAUAUGUUAUUUCAAAUAUUUUAUAUGUUGUUUAUUUACAUCAUUAUUGUAAAUAUUUUAUAUACAUAUUUUUUUGUACAUUUCCUAAUAUUUUCUUUUAUUGUAGAUAUUAUUAUUAUAUACUCUUAUUAUAUGCAUAUAUAUGAAGUAUCUUUUAUGUACAUAUUAUUUUAUAUUAUUAUUACCAAAUAUAUCAUUUUUUCUUAUUAUUAGUACAUGAUUUGUUUUUAUUUUCUUUUUUUGCAAAUGUCAUUAUUAUUGUUAUAAUAAUUUCUAGUAUUCCAUGUUAAAAUUUUUCAUUAAUGAUAUCAUUGUUUGCGUCGUUUAUCUAUUUUUAAAUUCUCACUUUAGAAAUAUUUUUUUCUUAUGUUUUAAUUAAUUUCAAUAAAUAAAGCAACGCGCCGAUUUAACAUUAAGUCGUAGAUUUCAUCGCUAUGUUGGGUGGAAUUUGUCAGCUCGUGCUAAAGACGGAACACCCUUCUAAAAAACCAAAAAAAAUAAAAACUAAAAUUUUUCGUCUUUUCAAUCGGAUCACGAUUAAAUAUUACAUUGAACUCGCAUUUUUGAAAAUCAAGACAACACGUGUUUAUAAGAUACCAAUUUUGGGCGUCGCGAGGGUGCUAAUACCUUCCCCGCGCGUAACCGACUCUCGAACCUUAUUUUUCUCUGGACUUUUGACGUAGACCUAAACUCGGCCUUCCUUUUGUUUUAAAAAAUAAAUCUAAUAGGUGUCCGAUCACACCUAGGAAAAAGGAUCGAUGGCGACUCCCUCUUUAUUUUAAAAUCAAACUUCAGUUUUCAAGUUUUCAAUAAAUCGCCACAAUUAGCGACCAAAUCUAAACAUUUUUACGUCGCUACAGCUGGCGACUCCGCUGGGGACUUCUAUUUUUGAGAGUCGAGUUGAAUUAAACGCGUGUUGUCAAAAUUUUCAAAUUUCCGUAUUCAAAUUAAUAUUUAAUCAUGAUCCUUAAGUUUUGUUUUCGAAAAAAAUCAUACAUACAUAUCUCCUAAUUUGUUUUAUCUUUUGUUUUUCAGCUUUAAGUUUUACAGUUUUAGUUUUGUAGUUUUAAAAUAAAUGAAAGGUUUGCAAGUUUCUCCCUACGCACCGUGCACUUGCAUUUCGCAUAACAUGAGCUCUCAACCCGGGCCCCGUCCGUUUAAGUGAAAGUAAACGCUACGCCUUCGUGGGUUAACUCGUCCCUCCGCACAGGCUAGUGAAUACUUUCGGGUUACAUACAACUUAUGCUUUCGUGAGUUAACUUGUCCCUCCGCAUAGGCAUAAGUAAAUGUAAUCCCUCGAAUUGAACUCGUGUGAUGGGCUAUGACCGAGGCUUCGUACUAAUCUUAGCAGAUGACAGUACGGACAAUUCGAGUACCUAUCUAGAACCAAAACCGCAUAUAAUGAACCAUACGAGCCACCUAACUAGAGCCAUGCUAAACCUCCAUCCGUUUAGUAGUCACCAAAAUAAGCGCACGGGAGGAACGCCUCUUGCCUUUUGCAUUUUCACUGUCUAUACGAAGGGGAUUGAGUCUGUUUAAUAAACUAGAUUUGGGUAAUUUGAUUCGUUCAAUUUUUCAUAUUUUUUCUGUCUGUAUUUAAUUACUAAUCAAGAUUAUUUGUCUUUGCCGUAUUGUUUUUCAUCAUGCAUUAUAGGCAUCAUAUUAGAAAGGUGUUGACUAAAGAUCGGUUGCCAAAAAAUGGGUUUUUAAUGGAAGAGUCAAUUAUACAAACAACCGAGGAAAAUGCCGUAGUCCGAGAUUGGUCUCUAAAAACUCAGAAAGAAAAAGGGGAUAGUCUAGUGGAGGGAUGUAUUGCCAAUUUGCCCGAGCACGUAACUGUAAAUGUUCGCCAGAAUAACCUUGAAGAUUUGGUUCGGGUUUGGAAUCAGUGGGACUCGGAUACUAGAGGUAUCUUCGCCGAGAGAUAUGGAGACAUAGCCAACUUGAUUGCUGUCAGCGUAGACGAACGAUUGAUCCAAGCCAUGGUUAGAUUUUGGGAUCCAGCCUACCACUGUUUUACUUUCAAUCAGGAAGACAUGACCUCGACUAUAGAAGAGUACACUGCUUUGCUCCGUGUCGAUAAUAUACAACCUUAUAAGAUAUAUGUGCAAGAGCCUAAGCCAAUGACCUUCAAGAAAAAGUUAGUAAGAGUGACAGACAUGACUGACGCGUGGCUCGAAAAAUAGAUAAAGAAGAAGAAUGAAACCAUUUGUAUCUCAUGGUCUUCCCUACGAGACUUGGUUCUAAACCAUCCCGACAUGUUGAAAAGGGUAAAUCUGUUCGCUCUGGCCAUUUACGGUUUGAUCAUCUUCCCGAAGGUCCUUGGACACAUAGAAGUUGCGGUGGUAGAUUUCUUCGAAAGAUUAAAACAAGGAAUCAACCCCGUCCCAACUAUCCUGGCCAAAACCUUCAGAUCACUAAGUAGCUGUAGGAAGAAAGGGGAAGGCCGAUUUAUCGGAUGCGCGCAGUUACUUAAUGUUUGGAUUCUGAGUCACUUCUGGAAAGUAGAGCGCGCACCGUUCCAUAUGUUUUCUAAAACAUUCUCCCCGUUAGAAGCUUAUCUCAAGAAAGAAUGGCCGAAGGAGAUCACUGAACAACACUGGGUCUCAGUCUUUUAGAAUCUUCGCGCCGAUGACGUAACUUGGAGAGCCCCGUGGAUACGCCCGUUAGUUCUGCUAUACAAGGUCAGAGAUCAAGAUUGGGUGCCACUACUCGGAUUAUGGGGAGGAGUCGGAUAUGCCCCAUUAUUAGUCCAAAGGCAAUUUUCUUCGCGGCAAUUCAUACCCGCCACUGGCGGAUUGGCACAAUCCGAGUUCGCUUUCGCGGGUGAAGGAUAUAUGAAGAAGGUCUGAGACAAUGCAAAAUCUUAGAAGAAAAUUCAUCUAAUGGAAUUGGCCUUAUAUGCUGAUACCCUAACUCAAGAUUACGACAUAUGGAGGAAGCAACGGAUAAAUAGUCAGCAGAUUUCAUUAACAACUCCACCGUCCAGAAUCCUUUCUCAGAGGAAAUGCCGUCUGAGCUAGAAAUAGCAAGACAAGAAUUUGAACGAGAAAAGGCCAAGAUGUCUCGGGACCUUAAUGGCCUUCAAGAAGAAAACUACCAAUUGAAGAUUGACAUUCAGAUUGAAAGAUCCAAAAUCGAGAAAGUGCAAAAAGAAGUUGAAGUCGUGAGAAAUGACUUAAGAGACCUCCAUCUGGAAAAUAAAAAGUUAAGAGGCACAAUGAAAAAUAGUGGGCUGGGCAAGUCAUCGGCAGAAUGGAAAGAGGAGAUAAGCAACAUUAAAGGAGGGAUGGAAUUUUGGAAAGGAAAAGCAAAGAAAGAGGAAGAAAAGGCUGCACAGGCUAUGAUAGAAUUGAGGAAGAAGAACGCCGAAUAUGAAGUAGUGUCUGCCGAGGUGAUGACUAGUCGAUCUAAACGUCAAGAACUAAAAGAAAGGAUACGAGAGUUAGAAGAUAUGCUGCAAGAUCGUCAACAACAGUUAGAUACUCUCUUGAAGGCUUUGGAAGAAAAAGAUUGUCAGUAUGAUAGAGACAUUCGUGCUUGCGAAGAGGGCCUCCAGGAAAAAAAAGGCAACUUAGCUAUUUGAUCAAUAAAGUUCGUGGGGUAGCCAUGCACGUGGUACAAUUAUCGGAAGAAGCUAAAAAUCUCAGUUACCAAUUCCCACCAAGCCAACGAUCGAGCAUAUCGAAAUUCCUAGAGCGAAUAAAGAAAUAUGGCGAUAUAGCUAGAAAGUUUGUGUAAUAGCUGAAUCAAAAAUGGCAAAAUGUUUUGUAAUGAACUCUUUUGAUGAAUGAAAUGCCUAAAUAGGGGCUAUCUUGAAAUCAACACCAAUUCCUUACAUGUCAUUCAUGACUAAUAUCCAUUUGACAUUCAAGCAUUCAUGCAUUUAUUCAUUCAUUCAUGGCAUAUCCCGUACUCAUUUGCUGAGGUUAAAAUGUACAAUUCGCAGUUGUAAUACUUCAAAUCUGGAACCACGCCACUCGUAUAGAACGCGUCGGCAAACUAGAACAAUGGAGGCUGAAUUCAAUGAAAGGAUUGAAAGAAUGGAAAGAAUCCAAAAGGAAUUACAAGAGCAGUUGGCUAGGUCACAGCAAGAGACGAGAGACUUAAUGGUGAGAUCACAAGAAGAAUCGCUCGAACAGAAGGAUCAAAUGGCCAAGAUGAUGGAGAUGAUGUCAGCUUUAGUUAAAAGAAAUGGACCCAUGCAGAGCCCUGACAUCGAGGAAUCUUGGUCAAGAGUUAAUCACAAUCAAGACUCGCUCUAUCCCCCUGGAUUCACUCCACCACACGCCCGCGCAGCACAAAGAGGAUACACCCAAGGAGAACCCACAGACCCAGAGCAACGGUCGGUGCCACAUACUCAUUUAGGGCAAGGAAUAUUCAUAUCAAAUUCUGGAGCUAAUCCCGCCAAUCCAAUUGUUCCAGAUUUGGACGAUCUAGCGGAAAUAGCCAGGUUGAGAACGGACGAUCAUGAGGCUUAAGAGAAGUAUAUGAGCUUAGAGGAAAGACUCAAAGCAAUAGAGGGUACUGAAGCUUUCUCUGCACUAAGUGCCAAAGAGCUCAAUUUGGUGCCCGAUCUAGUUCUGCCUCUGAAGUUCAAGGUGCUUGAUUUCGAAAAAUACGAUGGCACGAGAUGUCCAAAGGCGUAUCUUGUCAUGUUUUACCGAAAAAUAACUGGUUACGUGAAUGAAGACCAACUACUCAUACAUUGUUUUCAGGACAGUCUAGUAGGAUUGGCUCUUCGGUGGUACAACCAGCUUAGUAGGGAAAGGAUCCGAUCUUGGAAAGACUUGGCAUCAGUAUUCUGUGAGCAAUACAAGCAUGUAUCGGAUAUGGUACCAGACCGAAUGACUUUUCAAAUGAUGGAGAAAAAGCAGUCAGAAACUUUUAGACAGUAUGCGCAGAGAUGGAGGGAUGUCUCAGCCCAAGUGGAACCCCCAUUAACGAAAACGGAGAUAACCGUUCUUUUCAUCAACACUUUGAAAGCACCGUUUUAUGAUAAACUAGUGGGAAGUGCCACGAAAGACUUUGCGGAUAUUGUAAUAUCCGGUGAGCUUAUAGAGAAUACCGUUAAGAGCGGUAGAAUGGAAGGUCAAGAAAGUUCAAGAAGGGCAGCGCCCAUGAAGAAGAAAGAACCAGAAGCCUACAUGGUGGGAAUGGGAAGCCGUUAUGCCCCUAACCUUUAUUCAAACCAACCCCGACCUCAAAAUUAUCCUCCUCUGAAUUUCUAUUAUCCUCCUCAAACCCCUUACUACCGAGCACCACCUCCUUUCUACCCCGUAUAUGCCAUGAACAACCAAAGGCCCGUCACUACAUUCCCACAAAAUACAAUACCCGCCCAAGGUCAACCCAAAAAUGAGCAGAGGCCAGCAAAACCCUAUUCUGAGAAACCACAAUUUACCCCUAUUCCUGUGUCAUAUGGGGAGCUGUACCCAAAAAUUUUGGAGAAGCAAUUAAUAUCCCCGCAUUAUAUGGCACCCUUGAGGCCCCCAUACCCGAAAUGGUACGACCCAAACACUAGUUGUGCAUACUAUGCAGGAAACCAGGGACAUUCGACGGAAAAUUGCCUAGCCUUUAAGAGGAGAGUUCAAGGACUAAUUGAUGCGGAUAUCCUACGAUUUGAUAGUGCCUGUAAUGCAACUGGGAACCCGUUCCCUAACCAUACUGAAGGAAAUGUGAGCACAGUGGGGAAAGAAGAUGAAUGGCAAGUUAGAAGAUGUGUUUCAGAAAUAAAGACGCCUCUGCAGAAAAUCUGGGAGGCACUGGUUAAGAAUAGAUUGCUCUGUCACCUCGACGAUAAUCUCAAAAAAGAAUGUCAGGUUUUUUGUGAUUUUCAUGGAAUUGUAGGGCACGGCAUUCAAUCAUGUGAGGAAUUUAAAAGGUUAUUGCAAGACCGGAUAGAUAAUAAGGAGAUUGUGUUCAUUAAUCAAGGAGAGGCCAAUGAGAAAGAAGUAUGUGCCUCUGACAAUCAAUCGUCAAGUUGUCCGUAUAGCGCCGAUCGACCAUUCGUAAUUUAUUACGAUGCAAGGAAGGAACCGGUGAAACCAAAAAUGAUGAUUGAAGUACCGUCUCAUUUCCCUUACAAGGACAAUAAAUCAGUACCGUGGAAAUAACGUUAAUAUCGUCACACCUGAAGAUGAAAAACCCAAUGCCAUGACUGGAGGCGUCGGGGAAGUAGGUCAUUUCACUUGUAGUGGAAGAUGUUAUUCGAAGGAGGUGAAGAAGAACAGUGACUUGAAACAGAAAGGAAAAGCACCGAUGCACAUGACCAAAGAAAAGCAUGAAACUGUGCCUGAACAAGAAGCUAAAAAGCCUAUGGACGAGGAGGAAGCACAGGAAUUUUUAAAAUUUAUCAAGCACAGUGAGUACAACGUGGUAGAACAAUUAAGUAAGCAGCCAGCACGAAUCUCGGUAUUAUCUCUGCUGUUGAAUUCAGAACCAUACCGGAACGCUCUGCUGAAAAUGUUAAAUCAAGCUUAUGUGGCAAACAAUGUAUCCGUUGAAAAAUGGAUAGAUGGAUGAACAACUUGAAUGCGGAUAAUUUCAUUUCCUUUAGUGACGAUGAAAUAUCGCCCAAUGGUAGAGGCUCAGUGAAAGCAUUGCAUAUCACAACCCGUUGUAAGGGCUAUAUAAUAUCGAACGUGCUCAUCGAUAAUGGAUCGGCACUCAAUGUCAUGCCUUUGGCCACACUUUCCAAGAUUCCGAUGGAUUUGUCCUAUCUAAGGCCCUGCCAUUCUACAGUAAGGGCAUUCAAUGGAACAAGACGAGAAGUUAUGGGAAAACUCGAGAUCCCUCUAGAAGUGGGUCCCUACAUAUACAAUAUUGAGUUUCAAGUCAUGGACAUUACACCAUCAUACAAUUGUCUCUUGGGAAGACCUUGGAUCCAUUCUGCUGGAGCAGUACCAUCAUCCCUCCAUCAAAAGGUGAAAUUUAUCAUGGAUGGUUGUUUGGUCACUGUCUAGGGAGAAGAAGACAUUGUCGCAUCUAUCUCUGCUGAUGCACCCUACCUCGAAGUAAGCAAAGACGCAGUAGAAUGUUCCUUCCGAUCCAUUGAAUUCGUCAAUGCCACAUUCGUCGCUGAGGGAAAUAGAAUUCCCGCGCCAAAACUAUCGAGAAAUACCAAGAUGGGUGUCAAAUUGACUGUAGCAAAGGGAGCCCGAGCAAGGAAAGGUUUGGGAAGGUACCUGCAAGGAAUAGUCAGGGCUCUAAAGCAAGUACACCACAAGGCCCGAUACGAUUUAGGGUUCCAGUCGGACAUGCGUCAAAGAAGAAAGCAGUGGAAGUAAGAUCAGGAAAGAAGGAUCGCAAGAACACUAGGCCGAGAACCAGAAUGAGAGCCCAUGGAAUUCCCUCCUUUGUCAAGAAUAUUUACGUCUACAGGAAUGAUAUACCCAGGGCAGUAUAGUGCACAAAGCACAAUGUUAAUGAUCGAAGAGGGUUUUCAGAAUAUCAGUAUAAAUGUCAUUGACAAAGGAGCUGACGCGAGUAAAGACAUCUCAAAGAUACGCCCUUGUCCCCCGGGUUUCAUGUUAAACAAUUGGACUGCCCAGGAUCUUCUUGUAGUUUAUAAGUCUUCAGAGUAAUGCUCAAACGUUAACAUUCUGUUAUGUCCUCAGAUAUAAUAGAAUUCUUUUUGUAAGAGCUUGUAUUCGCUCUUUAUCAUUUAAAUGAAUAUCAAUGAAGAUGCAUUUUGUCACGAUUUUUUCGCAUUAUCACUAAUUCCAUAAUCAUUUUGUAGCCUAUCUUUACAAUUGCCUCACGUCAUACCAUAACAUUCAGUUUGUUGAUUUCAAUACUUAGAUGCCCCUCUAUAGUUUCCUUUUCCAUUCAACUUUCAGGUGCUCAGAUAUCAACAGCAUGAAUAAACCCGUUACGAGUUCUGAAAUCGAUUUUGAGAAGGCUAUUUGUUUAGGAGAAUUUGAAGUCGAAAAAAAUGCUGAAGACUAUGUCUCGUCUCCUGACUUGCUAAGAAUGGUGGAACAAGAGGAUAAAUAGAUUUUGCCUCAUCAAGAAUCUGUUGAAACAAUAAAUCUGGGAACUGAAGAAAGGAAGCAAGAAGUGAAGAUUGGGACUUCUAUUUCAGGGGGCAGCAGGCAUAAUUUGAUUGCUUUGCUCCGCGAGUACAAAGAUGUAUUCUCAUGGUCAUAUCAGGACAUGCCAGGAUUGGAAGAAGAUGUAGCGGUCUAUAAGCUCCCAUUGAAGCCAGAAUGUAAGCCUAUUCAACAAAAGCUAAGACGGAUAAGACUUGAGAUGUUGUUGAAGAUAAAAGGGGAAGUCAAGAAGCAAUUUGAUGUUGGUUUCCUACAAGCCUCCAAAUAUCCAGAAUGGGCGGCUAACAUAGUCCUGGUACCAAAGAAAGACGACAAAGUGCGAAUGUGCGUGGAUUAUCGUGACCUGAAUCGAGCAAGUCCUAAAUAUAAUUUUCCCUUACCACACAUUGAUACGUUGGUGGAUAACACAGCAAAACAUUCAUUGUUUUCUUUCAUGGACGGAUUCUCGGGGUAUAAUCAGAUCAAGAUGGCCCCUGAGGAUAUGGAGAAAACUACCUUCGUAACAAUGUGGGGAACAUUCUGCUACAAGGUGAUGCCAUUUGGGUUAAAGAAUGCUGGGGCAACAUAUCAGAGGGCUAUGGUGACGUUAUUCCAUGACAUGAUGCAUAAAGAAAUAGAGGUCUACGUCGACGAUAUGAUUGCUAAAUCCCGAGGGGAAGAAGAGCAUGUAGUGAACCUGAAGAAAUUGUUUGACAGACUGAGAAAAUUCCAACUAAAGCUCAAUCCGGCCAAAUGUAUGUUUGGGGCUACCUCUGGAAAAUUGCUGGGCUUCAUUGUCAGUGAAAGAGGUAUCGAGGUUGAUCCAGAUAAAAUAAAAGCUAUUCAAGAGUUACCACCUCCGCGCACGCCAAAGGAAGUCAGAGGAUUUUUAGGGAGGUUAAACUACAUCGCCCGAUUUAUCGCUCAACUUACCAACCAAUGCGACCCAAUCUUUCGACUCCUUCGAAAACAUAAUCUCGGAGAAUGGAACGAGGAGUGCCAAGUGGCUUUUGACAAGAUAAAACAGUAUUUGUCUAAUCCUCCAGUGCUAGUACCGCCAAUGCCGGGAAGACCAUUGAUAUUGUAUUUGACUGUGUUCGAGAAUUCAAUGGGUUGCGUACUGGGGCAACACAACGAGUCAGGAAAGAAAGAAAAGGCGAUCUACUACUUCAGCAAAAAGUUUACUGAAUAUGAGGCAAAGUAUUCGUCCAUAGAUUACUGCAACGCUCUGGUUUGGGUAGCUCGGAGACUCAGACAAUAUAUGUUGUAUCAUACGACAUGGCUAAUUUCAAAGUUGGACCCAAUAAGGUACAUGAUGGAAUCACCUGCACUCUCAGGAAGAAUGGCACGAUGGCAGAUCUUACUAUCAGAAUAUGACAUCAUCUAUGUGAGCCAAAAGUCGAUAAAAGGGAGUGCAAUAGCUGACUUCUUAGCAACUCGAACAACGAAGGAAUAUGAGCCAUUGAAAUUUGAUUUCUCAGAUGAAGACUUAAUAUGCAUUACAGAAAAAGAAUGUGAGUCAUCAAAAGAAAAGUCAUGGGGAUGAGCUUUGACGGUGCAUCGAAUGCAUUGGGGCAUGGGAUUGGAGCAGUCUUAGUAUCACAAGAAGGGAACCAUUAUCCGUUCACUGCCAGGCUGAAUUUCUUCUGUACCAAUAACAUAGCAGAAUAUGAAGCUUGUAUCAUGGGACUUCGUGCAGCAAUUGAACAAAACAUCCAAACUUUAGAGGUAUACGGAGACUCAGCAUUAGUGAUUUAUCAGAUCCGUGGAGAUUGGGAAGUGAGGGAUUCAAAAUUAGUCAAAUACAGUGAUCUCGUGGCAGGGUUGAUUAAAGAAUUCAAAGAAAUAACUUUUAAUUACUUUCCACGAGAAGAAAACCAAUUAGCUGAUGCCCUGGCCACUUUGGCUUCAAUGUUUAAAGCAAACAGAGAAACAGAAAUAAUGCCUCUUCAAAUGAGUAUAUAUGAAGCCCCUACAUAUUGUUUCAGCAUUGAGAAAGAGCCAGAUGGGCAGCCAUGGUUCCAUGAUAUCUUAGAAUACAUCAAGAAUCAAAGGUAUCCCGAGCAAGCAAAUAUGAACGACAGAAGAACAAUCAGAAGAAUGGCAGCGGAUGGGGACAUCCUAUACAAAAGAGGAAAAGAUCAGGUGCUCUUGAGAUGCGUGGAUACAGUUGAAGCCAGAAAAAUACUUAAAGAUGUCCAUGAAGGAAUUUGCGGGACACAUGCCAAUGGUUUCACUAUGGCCAGGAAGAUUAUAAGACUCGAAUAUUACUGGCUGUCGAUAGAAAGCGACUGCAUUAAUUUCGCACGAAAAUGCCACAAAUGUCAAAUUUAUAGUGAUAAAAUUCAUGUAGCCCCUUUGCCCCUUCACGUCAUGACUUCUCCGUGGCCUUUUUCUAUGUGGGGCAUGGACGUUAUAGGGCCUAUUUCCCCAAAAGCUUCCAAUGGACACCGGUUCAUUUUUAUGGUCAUUGAUUACUUCACAAAAUGGAUAGAAGCUACAUCGCUUGCCAAUGUGACGAAGACUGCGGUUUGCAGGUUUUUGAAAAAGGAAAUCAUUUGUAAAUAUGGUUUUCCUAAAAGAAUCAUUUCAGAUAACGCCUUAAAUUUGAACAACAAGAUGAUGAAAGAAGUGUGUGAGCAAUUCCAAAUAAAGCAUCAUAACUCCUCGCCCUAUCGCACAAAGAUGAAUGGAGCGGCCAACAAGAAUAUUAAGAAGAUUAUUGGGAAAAUGAUUGAGACAUAUAAAGACUAGCACGAGAAGCUACCAUUUGCUUUGUAUGCAUAUCGCACAUCUGUACGGACAUCUACGGGGGCAACUCCUUUCUCUCUGGUCUAUGCAUUGGAAGCUGUGCUACCUAUCGAAGUUGAGAUCCCCUCUCUACGAGUCUUAAUGGAGUCGAAAUUAGAGGAAGUAGAAUGGGUUCGAGCUCGAUAUGACCAGUUAAACCUCAUCGAAGAAAAACGUCUAAAGGCAAUUUGUCAUGGAAAAAUGUACCAGAAGAGAAUGACCGCGGCUCAUGACAAGAAAAUACGGCCAAGAGAAUUCCAAGAAGGAGAACUCGUGCUGAGAAAGAUUCUCCCAAUACAAAGAGACCUGCGAGGAAAAUGGGCACCGAAUUGGGAAGGACCAUACGUCGUAAAGAAGGCAUUCUCGGGUGGAGCUUUGAUUCUCACCGAGAUGGAUGGGAAGGAGUUACCGAGUCCAGUGAACUCAGAUGCUGUAAAGAAAUAUUAUGCUUGAAAAAGGAAACCAAGAUAAAAACCCGAAAAGGGCGUCUUAAAAAAAAAGAGAGAGAAAAAAGGGAUCAAGGUGAAAACCCGAAAAGGGCGUCUUGAUUAAACACAAAAGAUUAGGAUGAAAACUCAAAAGGGCAUUCUAAUGAAGCAAACCCGGGCUUAAAGAACAAGGCGUUUUGAACGGUGGGUCAAAUAGUGAGACUACAGUAUUUGAAGCAUUUCUGAAAGCUCGAAAUCUUCUACGCAAGAAGCCAUGCUCGAAAAGAUUCUUGAUUGAGAAACGUGGAAAAUUUCAUGCAUUAAAUAUCUAGAGCAUUUGUAUUCGUUGAAUGCAAUCCCUUUUCUCUUUAUGACACUUUUUUACUAUUAUUGGUUAACUUUCUUUGUUUACUACAUUUGAAAUGAAUAAAUACGAGGUAUCCUUUUGUCCCUACCUGACCAUUUUUUUCAUGCAUCUCAUUAUGUGGUCCGUUUACAUGAUAAAUAGUGAAAUGACAUACUCUAAACAAAAGAAAUAUUAAGCAUUACCCGGGUAAGAAUUUGAUAAGUACAAGAGCCUCAACGCAAGGACAAAAACUCAACCAGGGGCAAAAGAGCGAUAUCUGGGAAAUAUAGAUUAUUCGUGAAGCUUGAGGACAGGUACAGAACCUGAAGAGAAAGUCAAGAGUUGAAACAAUGAACACAUAUCAUCAAAAAUUGUGACGAAAAAGGGAUAUAUGACAGACAUGCCUAAAGCUCAUAUCAUAAUCAUGUAGGCAUAAAUGCAUUUAAGACAAACAUGUGCAUAUCAUGAUGACAUCAUGCAUGACAUAUACAGGUACUCCAGUAGAGUAAAAGGAUGUGAUGAUAGCUGAAAAGACACAUGAAUUCCACCAGAUGACAUGUUUUGGUAUUCUGAUGUUUUAUUUCUGUUUUUCAAAAAUCAACUCAUAUUGCGAGAGGUGAGUUGAGCCUCAGGACAUGCUGAGGUAAUUUCAAUUUCUGUUUUCUUCAAUUUAUGUUUUUCAAAAAUCAGCUCAUAUUACGAGAGGUGAGUUGAGCCUCAGGGCACACUGAGGUAUUUUCAAUUUCUGCUUUUCAAUUUCUGCUUUUCAAAAAAAUCAACUCAUAUUGCGAGAGGUGAGUUGAGCCUCAGGACACACUGAGGUAAUUUCAAUUUAUGUUUGUCAAAAAAAAAUCAACUCAUAUUGCGAGAAGUGAGUUGAGCCUCAGGGCACACUGAGGUAUUUUCGAUUUCUGCUUUCCAAUUUCUGCUCUUCAAAAAAAUCAACUCAUAUUGUGAGAGGUGAGUUGAGCCUCAGGACACGCUGAGGUAAUUUCAAUUUCUGUUUGUCAAAAAUCAACUCAUAUCGCGAGAGGUGAGUUGAGCCUCGGCUCACAUGCUGAGGUCUUUUCAAUUUCUAUUUUUCAAUUUCUGUUCGUCAAAAUCAACUCAUAUUGCGAGAGGUGAGUUGAGCCUCGAGGCACGCUGAGGUAUUUUCAAUUAAUGUUUUUUCAAUUUAUGCUUUUCAAAAAUCAACUCAUAUUACGAGAGGUGAGUUGAGCCUCGGGUCACAUGCCAAGGUAUUUCCAAAAUCUGUUUGGCAAAUUCUGUUUUCAAAAAUCAACUCAUAUUGCGAGAAGUGAGUUGAGCCUUUGCUCACGUGCUGAGCUAUUUUUCAAUUUCUGUUUUUAAUGUCUAGUUUUUAAAAGUCAAUUCAUAUUGCGAGAAAUGAGUUGAGCUCAGGAUCACACACUGAGUAAAGAACAAAGAUUGGAGCCGAUUGAAGGCACCAGAUUUUGUCUCCCUGAAGUUGUAGUGGAGCUGGUCGAGGAUAUCAGAUCUUGCCUUUCAGAAGUGGCAGAAGAGAAGACCAAAACCUUAUCUCACGGAAGCAAUAGAAGAGAAGAUUGAAGUUGUAGAUCUUAUCCUUCUGAAGUUACAGUGAAGCAGAUGGAAGCCACAAAUCUCAUAUCCUUGAAACUACAUUGAAGUAGAUUGAAGCUACAAGGCCCAUAUCAGAAGAUACAAUGAACUGAACCAAAGCUACAAGAUGCGAUGGACUAGUAAGAGACUGCCCGGAAAAGAAGAGCGCCAAAGAAGUCAACAAUUGGCAAGACCGGGCGAAAUUGGCCUUUCAUUAUGUCUUUGCUCUAUUCCCGUUACACGAUAAUGAGCAAAGAGGGGCAGCUGUUGUAGGCCAAUUUUGGCCCAAAUACAACCAAAUACCCACCCCAAUUUCAUCAGCCCAACAUCAUCAAACCCAAUCUAAACCAACAGCCCACCUAAACUAACCUACUAAACAUUUUCCAGCAAAGAAAAAAACCUUAGCCACCUCCCCACUUUCCUCUGACACCAGCCACCAUCACCUGCUCCACCAGUCACCCCCAUAUCCUGCAAAAACAGAGCAAACAAGCAAGACGGGAAAAUAUGGCAAAAGUAAUAAAAAAACUUGUAAAAGAUUGCUAUAAAAAGCCAUUCAAAAAUGUUGUAAAAAGGGGGGUUUAUUUUUUUUAAAAGAAAGAUUGUAACACAGAUAUUGGAAAUAAAAACGGAUACGAAAACAAAAAAGAGAAUGAAGGUUCAAGAGGUUUAGUUUUGUUCUUUUCUUUUCCUUUUUUCUUCUUUUUGUUCUCUGCUUAC